AGUCGACGGAAACAGCAGAGCUUGCUCUGGCUGUCGAGUGGCGGACGGGUGAGUAACGCGUGGGAAUUUACCCAGUAGUGGGGGAUAGCCCAGAGAAAUUUGGAUUAAUACCGCAUACGAUCUACGGAUGAAAGGUGGCCUCUCCUUGGAAGCUAUCGCUAUUGGAUGAGCCCGCGUUAGAUUAGCUAGUUGGUGGGGUAAGAGCCUACCAAGGCGACGAUCUAUAGCUGGUCUGAGAGGACGACCAGCCACAUCGGGACUGAGACACGGCCCGGACUCCUACGGGAGGCAGCAGUGGGGAAUAUUGGACAAUGGACGCAAGUCUGAUCCAGCAAUGCCGCGUGUGUGAAGAAGGCCCGAGGGUUGUAAAGCACUUUCAAUUGUGAAGAAGAUUAUAAGUUUAAUACGCUUGUAGUUUGACGUUAACUUUAGAAGAAGCCCCGGCUAACUCCGUGCCAGCAGCCGCGGUAAUACGGAGGGGGCUAGCGUUGUUCGGAAUUACUGGGCGUAAAGCGCACGUAGGCGGAUUGGAAAGUAGGGGGUGAAAUCCCAGGGCUUAACCCUGGAACUGCCUCCUAAACUAACAGUCUAGAGUUCGAGAGAGGUGAGUGGAAUUCCAAGUGUAGAGGUGAAAUUCGUAGAUAUUUGGAGGAACACCAGUGGCGAAGGCGGCUCACUGGCUCGAUACUGACGCUGAGGUGCGAAAGCGUGGGUAGCAAACGGGAUUAGAUACCCCGGUAGUCCACGCCGUAAACGAUGUCAACUAGUCGUUGGACCCCUUGAGGGUUUAGUGACGCAGCUAACGCAUUAAGUUGACCGCCUGGGGAGUACGGUCGCAAGACUA
rnacentral:rRNA from 1 species